GGACCCGCACAAGCAGCGGAGCAUGUGGUUUAAUUCGAAGCAACGCGAAGAACCUUACCAGGGCUUGACAUGCCAAUGACCGGUAUAGAGAUAUACCCUUAUCUUCGGAUACAUUGGACACAGGUGGUGCAUGGUUGUCGUCAGCUCGUGUCGUGAGAUGUUGGGUUAAGUCCCGCAACGAGCGCAACCCCUGUUUUUAGUUGCCAUCAUUAAGUUGGGCACUCUAAAGAUACUGCCGAUGACAAAUCGGAGGAAGGUGGGGAUGACGUCAAAUCAUCAUGCCCUUUAUGUCCUGGGGCUACACACGUGCUACAAUGGUCGGUACAACGAGGAGCGAACUAGUGAUAGCAAGCGAAUCUCUAAAAGCCGAUCCCAGUUCGGAUUGUAGGCUGCAACUCGCCUACAUGAAGUCGGAGUUGCUAGUAAUCGCGGAUCAGAAUGUCGCGGUGAAUGCG
rnacentral:rRNA from 1 species